CCGAUAAGUUAGCCUUAACAUAAUACAGAGGUGUAUAGGUACAACUGUGGCUCUACUUUGGUAAGGCAAACCCGAUAAGUUAGCCUUAACAUAAUACAGAGGUGUAUAGGUACAACUGUGGCUCUACUUUGGUAAGGCAAACCCGAUAAGUUAGCCUUAACAUAAUACAGAGGUGUAUAGGUACAACUGUGGCUCUGCUUUGGUAAGGCA